AACGAACGCUGGCGGCAUGCCUAACACAUGCAAGUCGAACGAGACCUUCGGGUCUAGUGGCGCACGGGUGCGUAACGCGUGGGAACCUGCCCUUAGGUUCGGAAUAACUCCCCGAAAGGGGUGCUAAUACCGGAUAAUGUCUUCGGACCAAAGAUUUAUCGCCUUUGGAUGGGCCCGCGUUGGAUUAGCUAGUUGGUAGGGUAAAAGCCUACCAAGGCGACGAUCCAUAGCUGGUCUGAGAGGAUGAUCAGCCACACUGGGACUGAGACACGGCCCAGACUCCUACGGGAGGGAGCAGGUGGGAAUAUUGGACAAUGGGCGAAAGCCUGAUCCAGCAAUGCCGCGGGAGUGAUGAAGGCCUUAGGGUUGUAAAGCUCUUUUACCCGGGAUGAUAAUGACAGUACCGGGAGAAUAAGCUCCGGCUAACUCCGUG
rnacentral:rRNA from 1 species